rnacentral:rRNA from 1 species
GUAGGUGGCAAGCGUUGUCCGGAAUUAUUGGGCGUAAAGCGCGCGCAGGCGGUUCUUUAAGUCUGAUGUGAAAGCCCACGGCUCAACCGUGAAGGGUCAUUGGAAACUGGAGAACUUGAGUACAGAAGAGGAAAGCGGAAUUCCACGUGUAGCGGUGAAAUGCGUAGAGAUGUGGAGAAACACCAGUGGCGAAGGCGGCUUUCUGGUCUGUAACUGACGCUGAGGCGCGAAAGCGUGGGGAGCAAACAGGGAUUAGAUACCCUGGUAGUCCACGCCGUAAACGAUGAGUGCUAAGUGUUAGGGGGGUUUCCGCCCCCUUAGUGCUGCAGCUAACGCAUUAAGCACUCCGCCUGGGGAUACGGCCGCAAGGCUG